rnacentral:rRNA from 1 species
UGCUGUUUCGCUGACGAGUGGCGGACGGGUGAGUAAUGUCUGGGAAACUGCCUGAUGGAGGGGGAUAACUACUGGAAACGGUAGCUAAUACCGCAUAACGUCGCAAGACCAAAGAGGGGGACCUUCGGGCCUCUUGCCAUCGGAUGUGCCCAGAUGGGAUUAGCUAGUAGGUGGGGUAACGGCUCACCUAGGCGACGAUCCCUAGCUGGUCUGAGAGGAUGACCAGCCACACUGGAACUGAGACACGGUCCAGACUCCUACGGGAGGCAGCAGUGGGGAAUAUUGCACAAUGGGCGCAAGCCUGAUGCAGCCAUGCCGCGUGUAUGAAGAAGGCCUUCGGGUUGUAAAGUACUUUCAGCGGGGAGGAAGGGAGUAAAGUUAAUACCUUUACUCACUGACGUUACCCGCAGAAGAAGCACCGGCUAACUCCGUGCCAGCAGCCGCGGUAAUACGGAGGGUGCAAGCGUUAAUCGGAAUUACUGGGCGUAAAGCGCACGCAGGCGGUUUGUUAAGUCAGAUGUGAAAUCCCCGGGCUCAACCUGGGAACUGCAUCUGAUACUGGCAAGCUUGAGUCUCGUAGAGGGGGGUAGAAUUCCAGGUGUAGCGGUGAAAUGCGUAGAGAUCUGGAGGAAUACCGGUGGCGAAGGCGGCCCCCUGGACGAAGACUGACGCUCAGGUGCGAAAGCGUGAGGAGCAAACAGGAUUAGAUACCCUGGUAGUCCACGCCGUAAACGAUGUCGACUUGGAGGUUGU